AACGAACGCUGGCGGCAUGCCUAACACAUGCAAGUCGAACGAGACCUUCGGGUCUAGUGGCGCACGGGUGCGUAACGCGUGGGAACCUGCCCUUAGGUUCGGAAUAACUCCCCGAAAGGGGUGCUAAUACCGGAUAAUGUCUUCGGACCAAAGAUUUAUCGCCUUUGGAUGGGCCCGCGUUGGAUUAGCUAGUUGGUAGGGUAAAAGCCUACCAAGGCGACGAUCCAUAGCUGGUCUGAGAGGAUGAUCAGCCACACUGGGACUGAGACACGGCCCAGACUCCUACGGGAGGCAGCAGUGGAGAAUAUUGGACAAUGGGCGAAAGCCUGAUCCAGCAAUGCCGCGUGAGUGAUGAAGGCCUUAGGGUUGUAAAGCUCUUUUACCCGGGAUGAUAAUGACGGUACCGGGAGAAUAAGCUCCGGCUAACUCCGUG
rnacentral:rRNA from 1 species